rnacentral:rRNA from 1 species
UACAGAGGGGCGAGCGUUGUUCGGAAUUACUGGGCGUAAAGAGCGCGUAGGCGGUCCGAUAAGUCGGCUGUGAAAGUCAGGGGCUCAACCCUUGAAAGCCGGCCGAUACUGUCGGACUAGAGUCCGGAAGAGGCAAGUGGAAUUCCCGGUGUAGCGGUGAAAUGCGCAGAUAUCGAGAGGAACACCUGCGGCGAAGGCGGGUAGCUGGGCCGACACUGACGCUGAUGCGCGAAAGCCAGGGAGCGAACAGG